rnacentral:rRNA from 1 species
UCACUAAGCUGUGAGCAUCAUAGGCACCUCUUGCAUGUUCUAGUUGUAAUUUGAAGAAGGUAUCUUUGGAGUUGGCCCCCGUCUAUGUUCCUUGGAACAGGACGUCACAGAGGGUGAGAAUCCCGUGCGAUGGGGAGACCAAUUCUAUGUAAAGUUCCUUCGAAGAGUCGAGUUGUUUGGGAAUGCAGCUCUAAGUGGGUGGUAAAUUCCAUCUAAAGCUAAAUAUUGGCGAGAGACCGAUAGCGAACAAGUACAGUGAUGGAAAGAUGAAAAGAACUUUGAAAAGAGAGUGAAAAAGUACGUGAAAUUGUUGAAAGGGAAGGGCUUUUGAUCAGACUUGGUGUUUAGUACUCUCUACUCCUUGUGGGUGGGGCUCUUGCUUUAUACUGGGCCAGCAUCGGUUUGGAUGGUAGGAUAAUAGCAUUGGAAUGUGGCUUCAUUCGUGAAGUGUUAUAGCCCUUGUUGAUACUACCUAUCUAGACCGAGGACUGCGUCUUUUGACUAGGAUGCUGGCGUAAUGAUUAAAAGCC